rnacentral:rRNA from 1 species
UACGUAGGGCGCAAGCGUUGUCCGGAAUUAUUGGGCGUAAAGAGCUCGUAGGUGGCUUGUCACGUCGGGUGUGAAAGCUUGGGGCUUAACUCCAGGUCUGCAUUCGAUACGGGCUGGCUAGAGGUAGGUAGGGGAGAACGGAAUUCCUGGUGUAGCGGUGAAAUGCGCAGAUAUCAGGAGGAACACCGGUGGCGAAGGCGGAUCUCUGGGCCAUUACUGACGCUGAGGAGCGAAAGCGUGGGGAGCGAACAGG